AUGCACGCUGGCGGCGUGCCUAAUACAUGCCAGUCGAGCGCACAGACGAGGAGCUUGCUCCUCUGACGUUAGCGGCGGACGGGUGAGUAACACGUGGAUAACCUACCUAUAAGACUGGGAUAACUUCGGGAAACCGGAGCUAAUACCGGAUAAUAUAUUGAACCGCAUGGUUCAAUAGUGAAAGACGGUUUUGCUGUCACUUAUAGAUGGAUCCGCGCCGCAUUAGCUAGUUGGUAAGGUAACGGCUUACCAAGGCGACGAUGCGUAGCCGACCUGAGAGGGUGAUCGGCCACACUGGAACUGAGACACCGUCCAGACUCCUACGGGAGGCAGCAGUAGGGAAUCUUCCGCAAUGGGCGAAAGCCUGACGGAGCAACGCCGCGUGAGUGAUGAAGGUCUUCGGAUCGUAAAACUCUGUUAUUAGGGAAGAACAAAUGUGUAAGUAACUAUGCACGUCUUGACGGUACCUAAUCAGAAAGCCACGGCUAACUACGUG
rnacentral:rRNA from 1 species